rnacentral:misc_RNA from 1 species
AAAGUUUUCCGACUUCUUAAGUUUGUCAACGAUCUGCAUGGUCUUAUUAGCCCUGUCCCUCAAGAAACUCCCCUUCCUCUUGUUUUUUUGGGAAAGUCAAAAAAUGCUUUAUUGUCAACAUUCUUAUUUCUUGAUCAAAUCGUCUGGCUUGGCAGAUCUGGCAUCUACAAGGAUAAAGAACACGCUGAGCUAAUUGGCCAGAUAUCUCUCUACUGUUGGAUGGGAUCCUCAGUCUGCUCUACCUUGGUGGAGAUUGGAGAGCUUGGAAGGCUUUCUGCAUCAAUGAAGAAGCUAGUGAAGGAGCUUAAGAACAGUGAUAAAUAUCAAAAUGAACAAUACCGUGCUAAACUUCAAAAAUCGAAUGAGAGAUCACUGGCCUUGGUCAAGGCAGCCCUGGAUAUCGUAGUUGCAGUUGGACUACUUCAAUUGGCACCCAAGAAAGUUACCCCUCGUGUAACAGGAGCCUUUGGAUUUAUUACCUCUUUAAUUUCUUGCUAUCAGUUGCUUCCAUCUGGACCAAAAGCCAAGACCACAUAAAGAUACAAGUCUGUUCUAGGUGAUAAUUAUUGGAACAAUAAAGCCUAGUCGUGUCAUUUAAAAUAUUUAUUUGAACUUAGUGAUAUAAAAUCCCUUUUGGUGUAAACUUUUGAGCUAUAUGCCUCAUUCUAGGUGACCUUGGAUGUUCCUCACUAUUUAAAGCCAACUAUUAGGCAUCUUUGUUGUCACCUUUCGUUCUGCUUAUUUGCAAUGGUAAUAUUAUAAUGAUGUCAUUUCUGGUUCGUAUUUCUAUCCAAGCUGUGGUUAUUGUUUCAAAAAAAAAAAA